rnacentral:lncRNA from 1 species
GAUGCGUAUCAGAAACUCCCUUUAGUUUGCUGGGUGGUUUCUUGAUCUUGAUGAUCAAGAACUCUCUUCUUAGUCUUGCGUAUCGUCAAACGUUGUGUUUUCUUCUUCUCCGGACAAAGAAUGCACGAUCAGAGGUUGCUGAUGAAGCCAGCAUCUGCAAAUAGAGUUUGCCAAAUGAUGCAAAAGGCAAUUGACUCUUCCCGCUCAGAGGCGUCUAAAUGUCUUCAAUCCUUUUGACAUGCUAAUGUCUUUUGACCAUUACACAAGACACGAAAAGUCAAAAUUGUGUGUGCUUUUGGCUGAAAGUCAGAUUCAUUGACCUUUUUGUGUAUACAUUAUGUAUAUUUCUAAUUCUUGCCCCUGAUGACACAAGAACUUGCAGUAGCCACCUUCCAUCCACAGCCAGCUCAUCAUUGAACAACUUAUCCAACAUCAGUACUUACCUAGUGUAGUGCAACUAACUGAUUCAAACAUAAGGGAAGAAGAACAAAACCUAUCACAUAUAACAGUUUCUUCCGUAUGUGGUCAAAAUCUAAUUCGUCUAUAUUACAAACUCGGUUGACCCAAAAAUUAUUGGAUUUGAAGACAAGUUUUCAAGACAUGUUAAGUGACACAGCAUUUAUAGACUAUAGUAAAGUUGAUGUGCGAAUAUGUGAGAAAUGUAUGCAAAUAUUAGAUACUCGAGUAUGCCAAGUAGAAGAAAACCACCAACGGCUGAGAAAGUUAGUGGAGGGCGAUUGGGCGAUCUGCAUUAAAAACAAAAAUUCAGUCUAAGAUACUUGUAGGAUUCAGAUGCAAAACACACACACAAGUACCUAUGAAUGAGAAAAGCAGAAGGAAGAAGAACAAGGCAUGUUAAAGCAUUGGAGUAGAAUACAUAGGAGAAGUUGUGCAUCCCAGUUUCUAUAGCUUUUUUGCCUGCUAAUGUUAAUCCCACCUGUGAAACUUGAGCAACCAUCAUAGCCAAAAAUGGCAGUGCACCCUUCAUCUUCCUCUUGAAAAUCUUUUGAGGCACAAGAUUGCUUAUAUUUUGGUCAAAAUGUAUUGGUCAUAAUACCAGUAAGAGUUUAGUAAUACUAAAUCUAAUGAAUUUCUUAGUACCAGGACCACUUAGGAUGCUACACUUAUUAUUUAUUCGUACAUUCAUGAUGUUACGAAUUACGAGUUGAGUUUAGCUAGAUUAAGAUAUGUGUUUCUUAUUACGAGGACCACCUUGUGAAAAUGAUGUUGAAAAUCACGCGAUUUAAUAAUCUAAUGGAGUUUAUUUAUUUGUUAAAGUACAUCAUGUUUAACUUAUUUGGUUAAUUUAUAAUUGCCAAAUUACCUAGGUUUUUGUUU